rnacentral:rRNA from 1 species
UACAGAGGUCCCAAGCGUUGUUCGGAUUCAUUGGGCGUAAAGGGUGCGUAGGCGGCGCGGUAAGUCGGGUGUGAAAUCUCGGAGCUUAACUCCGAAACUGCAUUCGAUACUGCCGUGCUUGAGGACUUGGAGAGGAGACUGGAAUUUACGGUGUAGCGGUGAAAUGCGUAGAUAUCGUAAGGAAGACCAGUGGCGAAGGCGGGGUCUCUGGACAGUUCCUGACGCUGAGGCACGAAGGCUAGGGGAGCAAACGGG